rnacentral:rRNA from 1 species
UUGAAGGAUAACCCAGUGGCGAAGCCGAACUCUUCUGUUCGGUAACUGACGCCUGAGGAAUGCGAAGCGUUGGGGAACGAAACAGAAUAAGAACCCCUGGUAAGUCCACCGCCCGUAAACGAAUGAGGGUGCUAGGGUGGUUAGGGGGGUUUCCGCCCUUAAGGUGCCUGAAGUUAACGCCAUUAAAGCACUCCGCCCUGGGGGGAGGUACGGCCGCAAGGGCUGAAACUCAAAAGAAAUUGACGGGGGCCCGCACAAGCGGUGGAGCAUGUGGUUUAAUUUCGAAGCAACGCGAAGAACCUUAUCAGGUCUUGACAUCCUCUGAACACUCUAGAGAUAGAGUUUUCCCUUCGGGGACAGAGUGACAGGUGGUGCAUGGUUGUCGUCAGCUCGUGUCGUGAGAUGUUGGGUUAAGUCCCGCAACGAGCGCAACCCUUGAUCUUAGUUGCCAGCAUUCAGUUGGGCACUCUAAGGUGACUGCCGGUGACAAACCGGAGGAAGGUGGGGACGACGUCAAAUCAUCAUGCCCCUUAUGACCUGGGCUACACACGUGCUACAAUGGAUGGAACAAAGGGAAGCGAACCCGCGAGGUCAAGCAAAUCCCACAAAACCAUUCUCAGUUCGGAUUGUAGACUGCAACUCGCCUACAUGAAGCCGGAAUCGCUAGUAAUCGCGGAUCAGCAUGCCGCGGUGAAUACGUUCCCGGGCCUUGUACACACCGCCCGUCACACCACGAGAGUUGGUAACACCCGAAGUCGGUGAGGUAACCUUUUGGAGCCAGCCGCCGAAGGUGGGACUAAUGAUUGGGGUGAAGUCGUAACAAGGUAGCCGUAA